rnacentral:rRNA from 1 species
AGCCGCCCCGCGGUAAUACCGGCAGCCCGAGUGAUGACCGCUAUUAUUGGGCCUAAAGCGUCCGUAGCUGGCCACACAAGUCCGUCGGGAAAUCUGCUCGCCUAACGAGCAGGCGUCCGGCGGAAACUGUGUGGCUUGGGACCGGAAGAUCCAGAGGGUACGUCUGGGGUAGGAGUGAAAUCCUGUAAUCCUGGACGGACCACCGGUGGCGAAAGCGCUCUGGAAGGACGGAUCCGACAGUGAGGGACGAAAGCUAGGGUCACGAACCGGAUUAGAUACCCGGGUAGUCCUAGCCGUAAACGAUGUCUGCUAGGUGUGUCACAGGCUACGAGCCUGUGGUGUGCCGUAGGGAAGCCGUGAAGCAGACCGCCUGGAA